CCUGAAAUGAUUCUAAUACUGCGGAGAAUAAUUUC
rnacentral:sRNA from 1 species